AGUGCCAGCCGGGCAGUGGCCUGGAGACCACGGGGCAGAGCCGGAGCGCCAUGCUCCUCUCUGCGUGGCUGUGCUGCGUGUGGACGAGUCCUCAGAAAGAGAAAAACUGCUCUCCUGAGGGUGGCACCCUGGCAUAUGGAAGUUCCUGGGGGGCCAGGGACUGAAUCCAAGCGGGGCGGCAACGUUAGAUCCUUUAACCCGCUGCACCAGGCCUGGAAUGGAACCCACGCUUCACCAGCAACCUGAGCCGCUGCAGUGGGGUUCUCAACCCACUGUGCCCUAGUGGGAACUCCACGCCUCCUCAUUUUAGAAUUAAGAGGUCCACUGUUCUGUUUUUCGAGUGUAUUCCUGAAUGAAAUCUUUGAAAACAGGUCAUAGGGAUCGCUUCGAUUCCUGGAUGAGUUCAAGCAAUCACUUGUCUCCGAUUCUGAUGUUCAGAACAGGUGGUCCAGGUGGGGACAUUCGCCUGAAGCCACACCUGCAGAACCGGAAUGGCGUGCAGACUGGACGCUCCGGGAGGCAGAGGGUUUGGGGCUCCUCCAGGCCUGGUCUCAGUGCUCACACAGUCAGUGCCCAGGCCCGCGAAGAUGCGCCAGGACUGUAUGCCUUAGUAGAGUGAAGGGCUGCUUGUCUGAAGUUUCCACGGAACAGGAGGGCACCCUAAUCUGGAGGUGGGCAUCAAUGCUUUUUUUUUCCUAAGUUAUGUCUCCAAACCGGGUGGCUACUUUGGCGAGACCCCAAACACCCAACGACCAGCCAAACCAAACCCCCAGACACCCUUCAAGCUUCCCCAUCGACGUCUGGGAGCCACAGCAGAGCGUGUCCCCGCUCUGAGGGGCAGCCUUAAACUUCCGAAGCUGACUGGCCGCGGCCCUGACCCGCUCCUUCCCUCUGAAACGCAGGCCCGCGUCUCCCGCUGGCCUCCCUCCCUUUGGGGGUGGUUUCUUGCCGCCGCCUCCGUGGGGGUUUGUGUGUAGCACGGUGGCAUCAAGAAAAAAGCGAACACUUACGUGGUGCUUGCUGCCCUUUGAGACAGUUCUUCUUUGACGAAGGCCUUGCCCCUGUGUGGCCAGAAUCCCAGCCGGCCUGACUUGGGAUUAACGGUGUCCAUUCGUGGAGGAAGGUGGGGCCAGGUGCGUCAGAGCACGUGCUGCCCGUCAGACGGCUCAGCUGAUGACCCUGUGCCGGAAAAGGACUCGGCUGGCAUGGCCCCUCGCGGGGACAGGUGCUCAGGCACAGAGUGGGUCCCUUCGGCAAAGGAUGACGCCCGGGCAUGAAUAUGUAUGUUUUGAGGAAGGAGUGACAGUGGAGACAGGACAAAGGACCGCAGCCAGGGCCCCCUCCCCAAGGCCUAUAAUGACACCAGGAGCCAGAGCUUCCUUGAGGAAAGCUGGUCCUGCUCACUUUUCGAGGUGAAACUGCACCUGAAGCCACGUUCCUGCGACGGGAACACUGCGGGCUCCUUCUGGCAGCAUCAUCAACACGACGUCUUUAUGCUGACUGCAUCCUCUGUCCAGAGACGUCGGAAAAAACAGGAUGAGCCCCGUGGGUCUAAAGAGGACGCUCCACUUCCUUUCUCAAAACCUUCCGCCGUGUCCUCCCACCUUUGGUCUUGAAUUCUAGAAGAUGGAUCUGCUGGCCCCGGACCCAAGAAGACAGUGCGCCACGGGUCUUUUCCACAGCAGCUCCGUCUCACGAAACACAGGUGCUUUUUACCGGAUCUUUCCUGCGGCAUUUAAAAAAAUCUGCCCUGCACUUUGCCACAUUGAGUUUUUCCAUCCCCAAGGCACCGCUGCGAGCUGGUGGGAGGGGAAAGCGUUAAGUUCUCUUAGGCCUGCGGAGGGGAGAGGUCGACAGGUCCUGAAUCACACAGGGACUCAGAAUACCUGCCUGGGCGGUUUCUGAGUCAGUUUGAGGGCUGGCUGUUUAUACAGCAGGAGGUAUUUCUUCAUUUGGGGAGCUUCAUUUGGGGGGGGGGGCUCACUGAGUGUUUACUCCCUGCUCCCAAGCCAACAAAGUGAAAACAAAAAUAUAUUCAGCAAAGUGUGUAGA
rnacentral:lncRNA from 1 species